UCUGUCUUAAAUUUUAUUUAUAGUUUAUAUAUAACUCUAUCAUUCAAUCCCUCUCCUCUCUUACUCUGUAGUCAUACAGAACAGUUAAUUUUCCUUCAUUUUCCUAACAUUGGGCAUACGGAGGAACCCAACCUCUGGAGAGGAUGCAAGGUAAUGAAAAAUUGAGAAUG
rnacentral:ribozyme from 1 species